CGACCCAUCACUAGAAGCCAGAGGUCCAUUAGCCCGCUAGGAUUUAGCAGAAGCCUCUGCUCAGCGCCCACCUUGUCCUUGAGACCCUGAAGUCACUAUAUUGCAGAGAUCUUCAAACAGCAACAUUCAGGCACUAUGAGAAGAAUGCGCGGCCGCAGAGGUCCCAGGGGAAGAAGAGGCCGCAGGCCGGAAUUGGUCAUACCUGACCUCACUUCCCUUUUUCCGCCCAUUGUGACUGACCCCAUUCAGCCUUGCCCCAUUUUGCCUGGCCCCAUUCUACCACAAGACGAGCCAGACAGCCAACAACUCUGUGUCGAGGGCCACCUCAGCGCAAAGCUGGACGCACCCUCGGGCCAGGACAACUCAAAGGCUAAUGACUGAUGGAUUUGAAUAAAGCUUUUAUUCUGCCUGUGCGGAGACACGACGGGCGGGCACCGGCCCGUUGCCUCUUUUUACACUUCCUUUUACGUUGUUUUUGAUAAUUGGAACUUUUUAUUUUGCUUUUUUUUCAAGGAUAUUUUACUGUUGAAUGUAUGGAAACACGCGCCCUGUCCACCGUUUCUCCAGCGAGGGAUCUCCUGAGGACGGCUGCAGAGACCGUUUCUUCCUGCGGAUGUUACUGCCAAAUGGGUCACAGGUCUCCUGUGUACCUGAACCUGUUUUUAGUGGGAGCUUAGCCAAUGCAAGUUCUAAAUCUGAGGCUCACAGACGCCCCCCACCCCAUACACCCACCUCCCCAAAGACUGGAUAUGAGGCGUGCCUCCGUGAAGAAAGCCGUACCUAGAAUACAGUCUGUCUGCAGGCGAAUCACCUGCGUGUUGUGUUUAGAACUGUUAAACAAUCAUUAAACGCGUUGAGUAAA